AAAAUGACUCUCGGCAACGGAUAUCUCGGCUCUUGCAUCGAUGAAGAACGUAGCGAAAUGCGAUACUUGGUGUGAAUUGCAGAAUCCCGUGAACCAUCGAGUCUUUGAACGCAAGUUGCGCCCAAAGCCAUUAGGCCGAGGGCACGCCUGCCUGGGUGUCACAC
rnacentral:rRNA from 3 species